rfam:TPA: Aspergillus nidulans FGSC A4 chromosome IV
UCAGCCAGCUACAACCAAGCCAAACCAAUCCAACCAGCCCACCAGCCAAAACUCAACUUCAAAAUGUCUCCCUGCAACUGCAACUGCUGCUCCGGCGACUGCAACUCCUGCUCUUGCAGCUCCUGCACCGUAAGUGUCCUCGCGUU